rnacentral:rRNA from 1 species
GACGGAAGGUGCAAGCGUUGCUCGGAAUCACUGGGCGUAAAGGGUGCGUAGGCGGCUGUGCAAGUCUGGCGUGAAAGCCCCGGGCUCAGCCCGGGAAGUGCGCUCGAAACUGCGCAGCUCGAGUGCCGGAGGGGAGAGUGGAAUUCCUGGUGUAGCGGUGAAAUGCGUAGAUAUCAGGAGGAACACCGGUGGCGAAGGCGGGUCUCUGGGUCGGUACUGACGCUGAGGAGCGAAAGCGUGGGGAGCGAACAGG